GAUGAACGCUGGCGGCGUGCCUAAUACAUGCAAGUCGAGCGAAGCGGGGACGGGUGAGUAACACGUGGAUAACCUCCUCUAAGACUGGGAUAACUUCCUGAAACCGGAGCUUAACCGGAUACUUAUCGAUGGAUCCGCUCUGGAUUAGCUAGUUGGUAAGGUAACGGCUUACCAAGUCAAUGAUGCAUAUCCGAGCUGAGAGGGCGAUUGGGCAAACUGGAACUGAGAAACGGUCCAGACUCCUACGGGAGGCAGCAGGAGGGAAUCUUCCGCAAUGGGCGAAAGGCUGACGGAGCAACGCCGCGUGAGUGGUGAAGGGCUUCGGAGCGUAAAACUCUGUUAUUAGGGAAGCGGUACCUAAUCAGAAAGCCACGGCUAAAUACGUGCCAGCAGCCGCGGUAAUAC
rnacentral:rRNA from 1 species